AGCUCGUAGUUGGAUUUCUGUUAAUAUUUUAUAUUAUUAAUUUAUUAUUAUUAAUAUAAUGUUAACAUAAUUCAUAUUACUUUUUAAGUAUAUGAAAUUUUACUUUGAGAAAAUUAGAGUGCUUAAAGCAGGCAUUUGCCUUGAAUACUCCAGCAUGGAAUAAUAUUAAAGAUUUUUAUCUUUCUUAUUGGUUCUAAGAUAGAAAUAAUGAUUAAUAGGGACAGUUGGGGGCAUUUGUAUUUAACAGUCAGAGGUGAAAUUCUUAGAUUUGUUAAAGACAAACUAAUGCGAAAGCAUUUGCCAAGGAUGUUUUCAUUAAUCAAGAACGAAAGUUAGGGGAUCGAAGACGAUCAGAUACCGUCGUAGUCUUAACCAUAAACUAUGCCAACUAGAGAUUGGAGGUUGUUCCUUACUCCUUCAGCACCUUA
rnacentral:rRNA from 1 species